rnacentral:rRNA from 1 species
AACGAACGCUGGCGGCAGGCUUAACACAUGCAAGUCGAACGCACCGCAAGGUGAGUGGCAGACGGGUGAGUAACACGUGGGGAUCAGCCCAAUGGUACGGAAUAGCUCCGGGAAACUGGAAUUAAUACCGUAUGUGCCCUUCGGGGGAAAGAUUUAUCGCCAUUGGAUGAACCCGCGUCGGAUUAGCUAGUUGGUGGGGUAAAGGCCCACCAAGGCGACGAUCCGUAGCUGGUCUGAGAGGAUGAUCAGCCACACUGGGACUGAGACACGGCCCAGACUCCUACGGGAGGCAGCAGUGGGGAAUAUUGGACAAUGGGCGCAAGCCUGAUCCAGCCAUGCCGCGUGAGUGAUGAAGGCCUUAGGGUUGUAAAGCUCUUUCGCCGACGAAGAUAAUGACGGUAGUCGGAGAAGAAGCCCCGGCUAACUUCGUGCCAGCCGCCGCGGUAACAC